rnacentral:rRNA from 1 species
UGGGGAAUAUUGCGCAAUGGGCGAAAGCCUGACGCAGCGACGCCGCGUGAGGGAUGACGGCCUUCGGGUUGUAAACCUCUUUCAGCAGGGACGAAGCGCAAGUGACGGUACCUGCAGAAGAAGCACCGGCUAACUACGUGCCAGCAGCCGCGGUAAUACGUAGGGUGCGAGCGUUGUCCGGAAUUAUUGGGCGUAAAGAGCUCGUAGGCGGUUCGUCGCGUCGAAUGUGAAAUCCCGGGGCUCAACUCCGGGUCUGCAUUCGAUACGGGCGGACUAGAGUUCGGUAGGGGAGACUGGAAUUCCUGGUGUAGCGGUGAAAUGCGCAGAUAUCAGGAGGAACACCGGUGGCGAAGGCGGGUCUCUGGGCCGAUACUGACGCUGAGGAGCGAAAGCGUGGGGAGCGAAC